rnacentral:lncRNA from 1 species
UUUAUCUUUGUCUGAACAGGGUUGUUUUUCACCAUCUCCUUGUCCUGUUCUACUAUUUUUUAGUUUCCCUUUUUAAUUGAAAUGAUAGCUAAGACAGGUGAAAGGCAGAAUGUCACCAUUUAGCAAUAAGAAGAACCAGGAGAAACUUACGCCAGGGAUAGUAGAUAUUUACUGGUCCCUUGUGCUUUUGAUGUAAGAUCUCUCUUAAAUGCUACUGUGACUGAGGAACUUUCUUUGGGUAGCAGUCCCUCCCACCCCUUAUCAUUUGAAAAAAAUUGAUAAUGUUAGGCCUACUGUCCAGGUGCCAUUUAUUAAUGUCCUAUGUGUUUUUGACGUGUGUAACCUUAUAUUCUCCCAUAUCUGAGGCAAUAACAGCUCAAAGGGAUUCUGGGGAAAUCAUGGCUGUUUGGCUGGAGCGUACAGCAGAGACAGUGCUAGCAGGAAACAUCCUCUCCUUGGUACAGGGGGAUUUCUUGUGGAGCCCUCAUCCUCCUCCUCCCGCAACAUGGUCAGGUGUAUUCUCCCUCCAUGAAGAAAGUGAUUACAUGUUCACUGUCGAGCAGCCUAAUAAAUAUGUUGAUAUUUCGUUUU